GUGCUUGCUUUGGCAGCACAUACACUAAAAUCGGGACGAUACAGAGAUUAGCACGGCCCCUGCGCAAGGAUGACACGCAAAUUCGUCAAGAGUUCCAUAUUUUU